rnacentral:rRNA from 1 species
UACGUAGGGUCCGAGCGUUGUCCGGAAUUACUGGGCGUAAAGAGCUCGUAGGUGGUUUGUCACGUUGUUCGUGAAAACCCACAGCUCAACUGUGGGCGUGCGAGCGAUACGGGCAGACUAGAGUACUGCAGGGGAGACUGGAAUUCCUGGUGUAGCGGUGGAAUGCGCAGAUAUCAGGAGGAACACCGGUGGCGAAGGCGGGUCUCUGGGCAGUAACUGACGCUGAGGAGCGAAAGUGUGGGGAGCGAACAGG